CCACCACCUGGGGGAGCCAACAAGGGGGGGGGUGAAGGAGCGGCUGGCACAGGUACGCCCUCUGGGCACUCAAAACCCACGACCCAAGACCACCACCUGGGGGAGCCAACAAGGGGAGCAGCUGGCACAGGUACGCCCUCCGGGCACUCAAAACCCACGACCCAAGACCACCACCAGGUGGGCCGAGGGCCAACAGGGGGGGGGGGAACACCCCACGCUCCGGCCACCACGACGGAAAGCCCCCCGCCACAAGAGGCGCAAGCACACGGGAAAGACCUGGACUCAGACAAGAGUCAGCGUCUGUGUCCAUUUAAAUCUGGCCCCUCACAUGGCCUGGGGUGGGAGGGCCGCCACAAAGCACGCCGACCCAGCCCCCCUCAGGUAUACACUCACCUGUUCACGAUUACUGGGGUAGGGUGAACACCUCAACCCAAGUUCAGGACUGAUACACCUCUGCCAGUCAUAAGCAAUACCCACCACCACGAACAUACUUGCUUCCUGACCCGUUCCUCUGACCAUCGUACAGCACUUUACAGCCAGUGGAAAACAGGGGCACUUGAUACUGAAGAUCCAGCAUGUGGGACUUUGUGCUUACCCAGUAUGUCAAUUUAGAACAACAGAGACUCUUUCAGCAGGCAUAGUUCAUCGUUUUUAUAUGCUUGCUUACACUUGACAGGCUGCCUGCGAAGGGAUGUUUGAGGGCCUAAACUCAUUGUGAAUGAAAAGCUGCACUAGCCUACCUACUUGACUAGCAAAGAAUAUAUGUAUUAGAUGACACAGUUGAAAUCACUUGCAUAGUUUAAGCAUUGUUUCUCUCUUAUCUAUAUUGUUUAAUUAUGCCGUCAAUGCUACACUGAGCGAUAGUUACUCAUCCAGUAAAGAAACUGUUUUAGCAUCUACUGAACUCUGACGCGUAACCGAAAUUGCGCUUUAAUAGCUCUGACCUGAGGCCACUGUACAGGACUGUAUAUCUCUCACUACUCUAUGUGGAAUAGUAUGUGGCCCUAGCAUGGCACUGAGAUGGGCCCCUGGGUAUAGCAUAUUGUCUGUAUUCCUUUAACAUAACCAGAAGGCUGGCAUCUACUCAACUAGCUAAUGUCCCUUCUGCUUGAAUAUACCCACCAAGCCAUUAAGCCCAAAUAAUCCAGCACCUACCCGACAGGACGCAGGAUAUAAGCAGUCUUCUAUGUAUCACCG